CGCCUUUUGGAGUAUAAACAUAAAAGGUCCUGCCUGCCCAAUGACAUGUUUCAAUGGCCGCGGUAUUAUGACCGUGCAAAGGUAGCGUAAUCAUUUGUCUUCUAAAUAAAGACCAGUAUGAACGGCUAGACGAAAGCCUUACUGUCUCCCUAGCCCAGUCAAUGAAAUUGAUCUCCCCGUGCAGAAGCGGGGAUAAUAAUAUAAGACGAGAAGACCCUGCGGAGCUUUAAACUUCAAUUAACAAUUAUACAUGUCUAAUAACCAGUUUUAGGUUGGGGCGACCAUGAGGCACAACAUAACCCUCACGAUAUUAACAAGAAGGACACUUCAAACAACUAACAAUAGCACAUUGACCCAAUAAUUGAUCAACGAACCAAGUUACCCCAGGGAUAACAGCGCAAUCCGCUCAAAAAGUCCAUAUUAACGAGCAGGUUUACGACCUCGAUGUUGGAUCAGGACACCCAAAUAGUGCAACAGCCAUUAAAG
rnacentral:rRNA from 1 species